GAUGAACGCUGGCGGCGUGCCUAAUACAUGCAAGUCGAGCGAACAGACGAGGAGCUUGCUCCUCUGACGUUAGCGGCGGACGGGUGAGUAACACGUGGAUAACCUACCUAUAAGACUGGGAUAACUUCGGGAAACCGGAGCUAAUACCGGAUAACAUGUUGAACCGCAUGGUUCAACAGUGAAAGACGGUUUUGCUGUCACUUAUAGAUGGAUCCGCGUCGCAUUAGCUAGUUGGUAAGGUAACGGCUUACCAAGGCAACGAUGCGUAGCCGACCUGAGAGGGUGAUCGGCCACACUGGAACUGAGACACGGUCCAGUCGCCUACGGGAGGCAGCAGUAGGGAAUCUUCCGCAAUGGGCGAAAGCCUGACGGAGCAACGCCGCGUGAGUGAAGAAGGUCUUCGGAUCGUAAAACUCUGUUAUUAGGGAAGAACAAAUGUGUAAGUAACUAUGCACGUCUUGACGGUACCUAAUCAGAAAGCCACGGCUAACUACGUG
rnacentral:rRNA from 1 species